rnacentral:rRNA from 1 species
CAGGCCUAACACAUGCAAGUCGAACGGUGGCAGCAAUGCCAUAGUGGCGCACGGGUGCGUAACACGUAACUAACCUGCCCAGACCUGGGGGAUAGCCCGCCGAAAGGCGGAUUAAUACCGCAUGAGAUAAUAAGGUGGCAUCACCUAGUUAUUAAAGAUUUAUCGGGUUUGGAUGGGGUUGCGGGUCAUUAGCUAGUUGGUAAGGUAAUGGCUUACCAAGGCGACGAUGACUAGGGGAGCUGAGAGGCUGGUCCCCCACACGGGCACUGAGAUACGGGCCCGACUCCUACGGGAGGCAGCAGUAGGGAAUAUUGGGCAAUGGGCGAGAGCCUGACCCAGCCAUGCCGCGUGCAGGAAGAAGGCUUUCUGAGUCGUAAACUGCUUUUGAUAGGGAAGAAUAACCAGUACGUGUACUGGGAUGACGGUACCUACAGAAUAAGCACCGGCUAACUCCGUGCCAGCAGCCGCGGUAAU